rnacentral:rRNA from 1 species
AUGAUCACCAACGUUUACGCCCCCUCUGAUCAUGCGUUGACGGCGGACUUUGUUGAGGAUCUCCGGUCGGUCUCGUUGGGCAUCACCGGCCCCUGGCUGGUGCUUGGGGACUUUAACCUCAUCCGCUACCCUCGCGAGAAGAAUAACAACCGUUUUGAUGCUUCUCAUGCGGCUGUGCUCAACUCCCUCCUUAACUCUCUUGCUCUGCACGAGCUCGCCCUGUUGGAUCGGCUUUUCACCUGGACGAGCAAGCGAGAUUCCCCCACUCUGGCUCGUUUAGAUCGCGUUUUCUUUGAUUCCUCUUGGGACGUCGCCUUCCCGGACUCGUGUCUGUCGUCUCGUCCUCGUCCUACCUUGGAUCAUGUGCCCCUGGUAGUGGAGGCGGCGACGAGAAUUCCUUCCUCCUCGCGUUUUUUCUUUGAGAAUGCUUGGCUCCGCGAUCCUCAAUUUCUCCCCUCUACCCUCCCCGCCUGGUCGAGCACGGGGGCCGGUCGGUGUGUUGUGGGCUGCCUGGCGGCUCGCAAAAAAAGGUUUCAGACUACGACCAAGGUUUGGAAAAGGCUCCACAAAUUCAUUCCUGCUUUUGAUAAUGACUCUUGCUUGACUUUUGGGAGGAGUACCGUCCCCUGUCCUUUGACGAAACAGGGCUCAGGAAGGAUGCGCGUGCGGCUUUGGCGGUCUCGAUCAGGCGUCAGAGCGCGUACUGGAAGCAGCGCGGGAAAUGCCGUGCUGUCUGUGAAGGGGACGAGAACACCGGCUUCUUCCACGCGAGCGCCUCCCACCGUCGCCGCGCCAACACGAUCCGUGUCCUCGACGUCGACGAUGCCAUGGUGA